GCUGGGUUAAUGGACUCAACACUGCCACUGCCUGACACAACCGCGGCAGUGUUGGGGGGCAGGGGAGGUGCGAGCUCUCCCAGCCCUUCCCCUUGAAGCCCUCUCACUCCCACACAGGAUCUUGAAUGCUUCAGCUGCCGCCUAAAAGUAUGGGGCAGCCGUAGACAUUUUCAAGAUUAUGAAUUUGCCUCUCAAUUUGAGACAGGGGAAAAUCGGUUGUUGCGUGAUUGGAAAACUAUUUCCUAGUCAAAGGUAAGGCCACAAAUCCUGCAAAGACUAAUACGUUUCAUGAACCAUGAGUGGCCCUGCUGAUUUCAGUGAUUCUUGUGCGUCAGCUUAAGCAGACGUCUGUUUUUGUGUCGAAGUCUCUGGACUCCCUGGACUUAAUCCGCGAGAGCACCACCACUUGGAUUUGUUAUCUGAUAACCUCACUUUAGGAGCUCCAUUACCGCACGUUAGGCCAACGGAUGACUAAGCUUCGAGUUGUUGUUGUGGAGAAGGAAAAUUAAUUCUCCUUCUGGGGAGAUAUUUUACAUAAAAAAAAAAUACAACCCAAAGUUUAAAUCUUUUCAAUGUAGACUGAAAAUUGUGCAUACCUAAAUUUGUGAAGAAUCUUGAUGGCGUGUCACGGGCAGAUGUUUUGCAAGGACGGCUGAAUCCCUGCAAAAGGUUUUGAGUAAAACCUGCAUAUAUUUUUCACUAAAAAAUUGACAAUUUUUAUUUUUUUUUAAGACAUUGGCCAGACCCAUUUACUUAUUUCAUUGCUAUUAAGCCUCUCACAAGUAAAAUCAUAGGACAGCAGGGCUGGAAGGAUCCUCCCAAUGUCAUGUGCAAGCUCUAGGUAAUCCAGGUGUGUGAACUCCAGAUGUUUGAACUACUGAUCAAUAUGCAUCUAUUCAUUGGGCUUUGCUGCACCAUAAGCCAUAAGAGAUGAUAUAUAGAAAUAGUUGAAUGCAAAGAUAAAACUGUGUAUUUUCUUUCCCCUUGAUUUUGCAAGAUUGAAAAUGCUGAAAUUCACCGAUUUUAAUUGCUCCAAAAAAAAAAAAAAAUCACAAAAAUUGCUCUUGAAAUCCGCUUUUUUUUUUUUCUUUCUCAGCAGCUCCCUCCCAUGUUACUCCUCAUUUAUGGAUUAUUAUUGCUAUUAAGUAUUAUUUUCAUUAGCACCUUGCAGCCCCCCUCAUGGACAAGGGCCCAAACUCAGUACAAACAUAGAACAACAGCAACAAAAUACCACUCCAUGACCCAAAAAGCCUCCUACUGGUUAUUUUCCCCACUUUAUUCCACAGAAUAAAAUCUUGGCUGAACAGCAACAUCAGAUUGCAGUGUGGGAGGUAACUACAUGAAAGGUUUGGUUUGAAGUCCAAAUUAUCUCACGUAUUGGAUCUGUCUUCAGCCCUCUUCCCCCUAGGAAGCUAGUGACUAAACAUUAUAGUUAUACUAGGAUGUAUGUCACUGUUUUACAGUGCAAUGAUGCAAGCAUUUGCUGAAAUACUACCAGAAGGACAAGAUGUGACCUUUGAUCAGGGAAUAGGCAUGCGAGUCCUUUUGAAAGUCUCAGAACAUCUGUCUUCUGCACCUCUUACAACACUUACCAUUUUUCACCACUAUUACUGUUAUAUUUUGCAAUCUCCCCCUAGCUAACAUGUAGCAUGCAAUUUAUGGGCUUUUGGAUGCAUGGUAGAUCCCUUCCUUUCUAAAUAACUGUAGAGAAACUAAUUAUCAUGAAGCAUCUAACAAAUAUUAGAAGUCCUCAUAUGCAACUUGGUGGGGUGAAUAAAUUAUGGACAUUGAAUUUUAGACAACUUUAUCACUCUGAUUACAAAUGUACAUGUAUAUUGAGCUUAAUAAACUAGUAUGUAAGAAUAGGAUGCAUAGCAAUCAUGUAAGGCACAAGUGAAAAAUAACCACAAUGAAAUGUGGUGACCAGCAGUUUAUAUAACCAUACUAUUUGGCAGUUUAGGACAAGACAUGAAUAUGAAUACUGGAUCUAUUUGAAACUUCCAGGUACUGAAAGAUUUUCUAAUCUAGCAGAGACAGGCAUUAGAAGAAAGAAAAUGUGUAAGCCAACAAAAGAAAAAAAUGUGUUAGAAAGAUGACACAUGUUUUUUAGCAGGAAGACUGAUUUACCCCCCUAAACAAAGAGAAAGUGCAUUCUUCAUCUCAAGUGGAGGUCUUCCUAGAAGAUAUGCUUCAAUGAAACAAGGCGUUGGGCUCUUUAUGAGAGCACACAUUAAUAUGUUAAGAACUGACUGACAGAUCUCAAAAUUAUUGGCCAUGGGGGUUCAUCAUUUAAUGGCGAAAUUUCUAAUGAGGUCCUACAGGAUCUUGUUUUCAGGGGACAAUGAGAGUGGUGGAGUGCUAGAUUAGGGUGACAGGGCAGUCUUACAGGGCAGUAUAGGUCACUUGGUAAACUGGGCUCAUGCAAACAAAAUGUGGAUUAAUUCAGUCAAAUGCAAGUUGUACAUCCAUAAACAAGGUGCGUGCAACUAACUUAUGGAAGGGGGAACUACAUCUUGGAAAGCAGGGACUCUGAAAAAGGAGUUGGGGUCAUAGUAGGCAAACAACUCAACAUGAGCUCCCAGUGAGAUGCAAAGAAGAGCUAAAAGAAGGCCCAGUACCUUGGAUGUAAACCCAGGGGAGUAGGGAGCAGGAGUAUGGAGGUGAUUUUCUCUCUGUAGACACUGAUGGUGAUAUAGGUACUAGAAUAUUCCACAUAGGUCUAGCAUCUACAUUUUAAAAUGGAAAUCAUAGAAAAUAAAGAUUGGAAGGGGUCGUCUAGUCUAUCCCUCUGCCCCAUGACAAAAUCAACUCUAUCUACCCCACUGCUCCUCAACCAAGCGCUAUGGCACCCUACAAGUUCUUCUGAAGAGUGAGUGGUGUGAGAGGACAAGCAUAGGCUCGGCCUCUCUUUUGCCUGGCCGCUCCCUGCCCCCAUGGUCUAGCCCUUUUACAAGGAGGUAAACACACGCUCAUCCCAGUGUGGCUCUUCUCCUUUACCCCUCCCCGCACCCAAACACAUUACCUGGCUGCUGUAUAAGGAGGCAAGCACUGUAAUAAAUACAUUACUUUUUGAUAUGCCAUCCAAUUAAAAAAAGAUACGGAGGGGUGCCUUGAGUCUAAAAAGGCUGGGAACAACUGAUCUACCCGUUCCUAACAGAUGUUUGUCUAACCCGUUCUUAAAAACCUCCCACGCUGGAGACUCCACCGUCUUCUUAGGUCCUCCUUUCCAAUUCUUUACUAUUCUCAGGGUUAGAAAAUGCGUCUCCCUGUUGAUGUGCAGCCUCUAUCUCCCUUGAUGAAAUGUGGGUCUUGUACCCUUGCUCUUUCCCCAGUGGACAUGGGAUACAGUUUAUAACUUCUCUAUAGUAACUUUUUAUAGACUUACAUGUCUCCUCUGUUUUCUCUUCUGUAGAGUAAAGAAACCCAAUUCUUCUAAUCUUCCUUCAGGUCACUUGUUUUAGACCAGUGAUCAUUUUUGUCACUCUCUUCUGGACUCUCUCCAAUUAAUCAAGAUCCCUUUUGAAGUGUAGUGCUCCAAACUGAAUGUACUAAUCCUGUUGAAACCUUACCUAUACUGAGCAGAAUGGAAGAAUUAUGUUGCCUGUUGACACUCCUAUUCAUGCAUCCCAAAGUGAUGUUUGUUUUUCUUGCAGCUGUACGACACUGUUGACUUAUAUUCAGUUUAUGAUCCCUUAAUAAUCUCCAAAUCCUUUUUUUUUUUUUUUGGAGAAAAGCUACCUAACCAGUUAUUCCCAAUUUUGUCAUUGUGCAGUUGAUUACUACCUAAGUGUAUUUCUUUGCAUUUUUCCUUACUGAAUUCUAGCUCAUAGAAUCAUAGAAAAUUAGGCACAGAAGGGACCUCAGAAGAUCAUCUAAUCCAACCCCCUGCUCAGAGCAGGACCAUCCCCAUGAAAGAACAUCGCUCAUAUUUGUCAAGAUAAGUCUGAAUUGUAACUAUCCCCCAAAGGGCUUGCAACCCUCCUGGGUUGGCAUCAUCUAAAAUGUAAUAAAUAUCUCAGUUUGCAUUAUCAGAGAGCCCAGAGAUACCUCACCACGUAAGACAUUCCCGGCCAGAAGAUCCUGGUUGCCACCAAACACCUUCAAGCUUGAACAAACAUCAAGUUUCAAAAGAAAAAACUCAGCCAUAACUGUGCAAAUCUGGCUGCCUUCACAACAAAAUCCAUGUGGGACUGCACGGAGGUCCAGAGUUAGACCAAGGCAAGCUCGUUGGUAAACCUGGCAGAGGGACUGGAUUCUCAGCAAAACCCCAAACUCGACUGGCCUCUACUAUCAUUUUGAAAGCUUCACAGGGCUCUGAUAUUUACUCUGGCUCCCAUAGCUGUUGUGUCCAAACCUCAGAGGUGGUCCCAAACCACUCAGCUUGGAUUUCGAUCAAAAUCCAAGUUUCCUCCAAUGUAUGGAUCCAGGAUUUCCACUUGGCCCCUCUCAGAGAUAAAGUUAUCCAAGCAGUGUGGAACUGGAUUCAAGACAAAAGUUCCCAUCAUUCAAGAGUGGAUUUGAAUUGGAUUUCUCUUGUUUUUGUCCAUUCCCAUCACUCACAGAGGUUUCAGUGUUAGUAUUACAGUAGUGCUGAAAAGUCCUGUAGUGCUGGGCAUUAAGAGACAAUCCUUGAUCCUAAACAUUUACAACCUAUAGAGAUUAGCCAGAUGCAAGUAGCUGAUUUCCUACUUUGCCAAUGGAUUAAGUUGCUUUUAGUGUCACGCAGGCAAUAUAUUGCAGACAUGGGAACUGAACCCAAGGCUAUGCCUACAUCACAGCACAGCCUCCUCACUGAGCCAUUAUGUUCCCAGUCAUUCCUAAUUUCCUCACCUCAUCCCUGAAAAUGAGGCAAUGGGAGAUGCCCCUAAACUAAAGUCAGAAACCUAAGUCUUAACCAUUUUGCCAGGAAGUCCCAAGUGCCUCCUGUUUGAGGUCGCCAUGAACAAAAAGAGAGCAAGGGGUAGGGGUUAUUGCAAGACUGAGCCAUGUGGCUGCGGUAUAGACGCACUCAAAGCGUCCCGAGUCCCUGUGCCACGCUUUAACCACUGGAGGUAAGGAGGGGAGAUGAUAUUGGAAAUGGGGAUUUAGCUCUUAGCCACUCGUGGGAAACAGAGCAAAGGAUUUUUUUUCUGGAUGGAGACCCCUUAAGGGGAGGCCAUCGUUUCUGUUAGAGACACAUAAUGCACCCUGGGCAAUGUUUUCAAUUGCAGCACGUAUGGAAGCCAAAUUCCUAAAGGCCUCCCUGAAUUUAAAGACUAGACGUUUUCAGGGAUUCAAGAUCAUGACCCCAUUUUUGCAAGACUGUUUUGCUUGCAACAGCACACUUGGCCACACGUGGCGUGUCACUGAGCACUUUGGAGAGCGCUGGGCACUUGUACCGUGAUUAGCAAUUUCCACUGGUAUCUCCUUCUAGUGGCUCUGGCUUGAUUUGACCUUGUCUCAGGUAAAUAAAGGGAGCAGAGUGGAGAUGGCCUUUGCCCCACUAAUUAAUCACUUGCUUCUGUUAACUAUUCCUCUGUCAACGUUAUUAAGUGACAGCCUCCCAGGGUAAAUAGGGUGCUGUGUAAAGAAGCUUAGAAUGCCAUCUGUCCUUACCUUGCUACGACUCCUUUGCCCUUUGGCGCUGAUCCCUUAGUCUUAUUGCUUUUUUUUCCAGAGAGAGAUUUGUAUUUAAUAUUAUUGUAAUACACAGCUGGCCAAUUCUGCCUGGGAAAGGAAAAUGUUUAAAGGCUCUUUCGGAGCUCGCAAACUGAGCACACGGUAAGCGUCCCCCUGUUUAUCUUAUGGUGAUCAGCUCAGAGCAGCUGGGAAAAAAUUGUGGAAUAUACAGAGCAAUUAGUUCAUGGCUGCUUGAAUAUUAGAGGGAAUAGUUUACUCAUACAAGCCCUUACUAGUAGGUAUUACAGUGGAUGAUAAAAAAAAAAAAAAAUCCUUCC